rnacentral:misc_RNA from 1 species
AAAAAAAAAAAAAAAAAAUGGGAAUCGAAGUGGAGACCUUGAAGACCUUAGCCGGCGGAUGGACAGUCGCCGCCAGGCGUUGCGACUACUGCAAAACGGCAGCUGCUGCUGCGUUUUGCCGAGCUGACUCCGCUUUCCUUUGUCUCAACUGCGACACCAAGAUCCACGCCGCGAAUAAGCUCGUGUCUAGACACGAGCGUGUGUGGAUGUGCGAAGUUUGCGAGCAAGCACCAGCCGCCAUUUCUUGUAAGGCUGACGCUGCCGCUCUCUGCAUCAUCUGCGAUGCAGAUAUUCACUCGGCUAACCCUCUUGCUCGUCGUCACGAACGAGUCCCCGUCGAGCCUUUCUUCGACUCAGCUGAAUCGAUUGUUAAAUCUUCACCGUUUAAUUUUCUAGUGCCCAGUGAUCAAAAUGGUGGAUACCACCAGCAAGAUGAUGAUAUGGAGGGUGUUUCUUGGCUGUUGCCGAAUCCUCCUGACCUGAAUUCGAAAUUAUGCUUCGAAAAUCCUGAAAUGAAGGCCGCCGGAGAUCUUUUUUCCCCUGAAAUGGAUCCGUUUCUUGAUAUGGAGUUUCAUAAGAGCCAUAGCGGUGCUACAGAUAGCGUAGUACCUGUACAAACCAAACCGGCUCCAAUUCCAGUCUUCAACAAGGAAAUCUGCUACGACGUCGAUUUAUGUAGAUCAAAGCUCUCUUCUUUCAACUACCCAUCUCAGUCUCUUAGCCAUAGCGUUUCUUCUUCAUCGCUUGAUGUAGGAGUGGUUCCAGACGGGAACUCUAUGUCCGAUAUAUCGUAUUCUUAUGGCCGAAACACAAGUUCUAGUACCGAUCCAGGCGGUUCUACCCCAAACCAAGCAACACAAAUAUGUGGGUUUGAUCGGGAAGCAAGGGUAAUGAGGUACAGAGAGAAGAGGAAGAAUCGGAAAUUUGAAAAGACCAUACGCUACGCUUCCCGCAAGGCAUAUGCAGAAACCAGACCCAGAAUCAAAGGCCGGUUCGCGAAACGAACUGAAAUUGAAUCCGACAUGGACCGCCUUUUUGACCAUCCCUCGUCGGUAUCUUUCAUGCCCCAAGCUCAAUACGGCGUCGUUCCGUCUUUUUGAAAAUAAAAAAAUAAAGGAGAAAUGUUUAGGGAUGGUAAUUGUUAAAAUUAUGAUUAGAAAUAGAAUAAUCCUAAGGUGGUGUUAACGAUUGAAUGUUGAUUAGGGAUGCUGGUCGUUGUAAAUUAGUGUCGUUUCUUAGUGAAUUUGCCGCCCAUUCGCGUUUUCUGUCUCGGGGCUUAUUUACUCAUCGUGUUUUUAGUAAAACCCUUUCUUCCUUCAUUUCCAAAUCAUUGUGUGUGUGUGU